rnacentral:lncRNA from 1 species
CCCAGCUGUCGAAAUGGCUAGAUCUUCAUCCUCAGCAGACUCUCCCUGGGACUCACGUCAUAGCAGAUUUGCAGCCUUACCUGUCCUUUGUUCACUGUUUUCCUAAGCAGAUGGAGUUUCAUGGCCAAUGAAUAAUGAAACCAUCGCUUUCCAAAGAACAGAACAUGAUGGUUGCUACCUCACUUAAGAAAAGACAAGGCCGAGACAAACUUGAGAGCUGAAUCCAUUCUCCAGUUCUAAGCCCCAUUAUUCUUGAGAGCUCUCAAGAGCCGCAUGUUGGGUUUGGCAUGUAUUUAUUUCUUUGACACAGAGCUCAUCUCGUCCGUGUGACAAUAGUGCUUUGUUCUCAUGAGCACUUCACCAACCAGCACACGCAUCAUUAGCACCCCUUGGUCCGUUCCGACUGAAGCCGGCUGUGAAGGCUCUUGCUUCCACAUCCAUAAUAAACUGUUAUGCUGGGGACCCGAAGGAGCAGCAAUUAGAUUUGAAAUCACAAAUCUUCACAAAUCACAAAUCUUGGUUAUGUUGCAACAAGGAAAAUGUUCCACCUCAGUUUGAAGAUCAGCUUCUUGUCAUAAAGGGAAUAACCGUGGUCACAAGGCAGCUCCCAAGGCCCCGGUUCAGCAGUCCAUCUCUGAUCAGCAAAGCAUUUAAGCACAUGUUCACUUGUGGGCUGAUAAUUAUAGCCCGUAGACUUUCCACAGUCAUGCUUUUCCGCCACUGGUUUACGGACCCCUAGACGCUCAUGAACUACUUCUAAGGGGGGCUGAAAGGCACUUCAGAAAAGCAAGCUUCUCACCAUGAGGCUUGUUUGCUACAGAGAAGGUCCAGACUCCUGCUGAGGGAAUGAAGAGACUGAGGACCACGGCCUGAGAGAUUAGGUCUGGCAGAGCCAGCACGUGGGCUUUACAAGCUGGGACACAUAAGAGGGCUGAGAUCCCAACACCUCCAGGUAUGUCUUCAUGGUACCUUGCAAACCAACCUGAACUUGUUUGGGAACAAACGUGGAAGGAUGCAGCCAGCUCCUUGCUGAACACAGAGCAGCAGUGGCUGAGUCCAAGCUAAGUCCAUGCUGAGGGAUGGGCAUUAGCAUGACAGCAAGUUUCUUGGCUGGGGCUUGAGUCCACUGGUUUGGAGCAAAAGCAGAAGAUGUUUACGUCUGCCUGCAAAACAGCACCUGCACUCCUCCUUUGAAUGAAAUGGGAAGCCUGCUGGUUCUCAUCUUCUCUGCCACCUGGACAGAAAUGUCAUGAGCUGCUCAUUUUUGCCUGGACAAAGCUGUAUUUGAUUGUUUUUUCACAAUGCUGAUCAUGAAAAGGUGCCUGAUUUCAGCCCUGAGGGCACUGUACCCACAUCUGCUCCCGCUGCCACCUCCCAUGCAACCCCAGCAAAAUAAAGAAGUCUGAGAAUGGAGGGGGGGCUGUCA